rnacentral:lncRNA from 1 species
CGAGGCGCAAUUGAAUGCUCGUGCGAAAGGGGAGGACCCAUCGUGUAAUUAUCCCUUUCUGCAGAAACACGCAGAUCUCAGGGGUAAAGGGGACAAAUCAGGUCGGGUUAAUCAAUACGACGCCGUUUUGGAGUCACUGAAUCAGGCUCAAAACGACGCCGUAUUCAGUCGUUUAAAAGGGCCAAAAUUUGGCUAUUCAGCCACACUAACCCUAGUUCCCCUUUUUUUUCAACCAAACCCAAGGUUUUUUCCCUCAAAAACACCAGCCCGCCACUAGGAACAGCGACCGGCAUUCUCACGUCUCGAAGCAUUACUUUUUCGGCCUCGGAUUUCCUUUAAACUCCGACUUCGGCAAGCGAAAGAGAAUCGAUAGCCUAAUCGCAAGGUAUGACUUCUUUUCCUUUUUCUCUUUUAUUUUAAUAUGCUAAAAAUACAUGCAAAAUCUAAAAAAGAACAGAUUCAGAAAGAAAAGCAGAAGCACUCGAAAUCACCUUUUAAAGUUUUGAUUGCUUCUUUUUUUUGUAUUCAGUAUGCUUGUGUGUAAAAAAUUACAUUUUUUUGUUCUCUUGGCUAUAUAGCCGAAUACAUAUUUCUUGGUCUCUGUUGCCUUUGCGUGUUGCGUUGUUUCUGUUCCUUUUUUGGUCUGCUUGCAGGUUGGGAGGAAGGUCAACGAAAGGGGCUUCUGUUUUGGCGCAAAGGACGGGCAGAGCCGGUCCUUGAGCUCCGAGUGCACUACUGAAGCACGUGGGAGGCAGAGGGGAGGCACGGCACUAGGGCUAGCUAGGGUUUCGGCUAGCUGAAACUUGGUUUGAGCAUUGGGCCUAUUGGACCAAUUGGGUUUGGGGUUUAGGGUCUGUUUGUAAAAUUGGUAGGAUUUAGGCUUGUAUUUGGGCUUUCCGGGUUUGGUUUUAAUUUGGGCCCUUUUGAUGUGUAAAUGGACUGCUAAUAAAUCUUUGGACCCUUUACUUAUUUUGUUUUUAUUAGUUUGGGCUCGGGCCGGGCAAAAUGGGCCUGUUACACUUACAAUUGUAAAAUUAUAUUUUAACUUUGAUAAAAAUUCAAUUUUAGCCCAUCCAAAAAUUUUAACUUUGCCUAUGUAUAUUUCUUGUAACUAAUUUGCGCUAAUAAACUUCCCCCCCCCAAAAAAAAAAACUUCAAAUUAAUCUAUUACAUUAAUUUUC